GAACGGUAACAUUUCUAGCUUGCUAGAAGAUGACGAGUGGCGGACGGGUGAGUAAUGCUUGGGAACUUGCCUUUGCGAGGGGGAUAACAGUUGGAAACGACUGCUAAUACCGCAUAAUGUCUUCGGACCAAACGGGGCUUAGGCUCCGGCGCAAAGAGAGGCCCAAGUGAGAUUAGCUAGUUGGUAAGGUAACGGCUUACCAAGGCGACGAUCUCUAGCUGUUCUGAGAGGAAGAUCAGCCACACUGGGACUGAGACACGGCCCAGACUCCUACGGGAGGCAGCAGUGGGGAAUAUUGCACAAUGGGGGAAACCCUGAUGCAGCCAUGCCGCGUGUGUGAAGAAGGCCUUCGGGUUGUAAAGCACUUUCAGUUGUGAGGAAAAGUUAGUAGUUAAUACCUGCUAGCCGUGACGUUAACAACAGAAGAAGCACCGGCUAACUCCGUGCCAGCAGCCGCGGUAAUACGGAGGGUGCGAGCGUUAAUCGGAAUUACUGGGCGUAUAGCGCACGCAGGCGGUU
rnacentral:rRNA from 1 species